GGACCGGAGCACCGCUUGACCCUCCUCCUCCGCGUGGCUAAUACGAUUUUCUAUCGAGGUUAUUGGUGAGUCCUCCAUUCCGGGGACGUUGCUUAUGAUCUUUUGCUAUGUAUAAGACUUUUCUUUUUAGUUAUGUUUUGACUAUGAGGGUGAGCCCAGUUGUUUGUCUUGGCCCCCGCUAAAGUACCUAUGUUUAGAG
rnacentral:lncRNA from 1 species